rnacentral:rRNA from 1 species
CGGAGUGAGUAAUGCUUGGGAAUCUAGCUUAUGGAGGGGGAUAACUACGGGAAACUGUAGCUAAUACCGCGUAAUAUCGAAAGAUUAAAGUGUGGGACCUUCGGGCCACAUGCCAUAGGAUGAGCCCAAGUGGGAUUAGGUAGUUGGUGAGGUAAAGGCUCACCAAGCCGACGAUCUCUAGCUGGUCUGAGAGGAUGACCAGCCACACUGGGACUGAGACACGGCCCAG